rnacentral:misc_RNA from 1 species
GAUGAAGAACGUAGCGAAAUGCGAUACUUGGUGUGAAUUGCAGAAUCCCGUGAACCAUCGAGUCUUUGAACGCAAGUUGCGCCCGAAGCCAUUUGGUUGAGGGCACGUCUGCCUGGGCGUCACAUAUCGUUGCCCGAUGCCUAUUGCACUGUGAUAGGAAAUUCUAGGGCGAAAGAUGGCUUCCCGUGAGCGUUGUUGCCUCGCGGUUGGUUGAAAAUUGAGUCCUUGGUAGGGUGUGCCAUGAUAGAUGGUGGUCGAGUUUGCACGAGACCGAUCAUGUGUGCGCUCCCCAAAAUAUGGACUCUUUGACCCCACACGCGUCUUUUGACGCUCAUGACGAGACCUCAGGUCAGGCGGGGCUACCCGCUGAGUUUAAGCACAUCAAUAAGCGGAGGA